UCUCAGUUCGGAUUGCAGGCUGCAACUCGCCUGCAUGAAGCUGGAAUUGCUAGUAAUCGCGGAUCAGCAAGCCGCGGUGAAUACGUUCCCGGGCCUUGUACACACCGCCCGUCACACCAUGAGAGUCGGGAACACCCGAAGUCCGUAGUCUAACCGCAAGGGGGCGCGGCCGAAGGUGGGUCCGGUAAUUGGGGUGAAGUCGUAACAAGGUAAC
rnacentral:rRNA from 1 species